AAAAACAUACAAGGUCAUUAAGAAAGACACAGCACAAACGAGACGUUGUUAAGUGUAUGUGCAUGUAUGUGAAUGUUGUGCAGUGUAAGUGACAUUGAAGUGUUGGUGUAUGUGUGGAACAAUAUGUAUAAGUUAACAAUAGGAGGACGUGGACAGACAGUUGAAGAUAAACAAUUAACAGAAAAAGUUAACAAUGAACACGGGAAGAGAGACAAGACAAGGGACAACAUAGCAACAAUAACAAAAUAUAGAGUUUGUGCUGUUGCACCCAUUUUCCUUGAGUCAUCGGGAGGAGCACACGAUAAUUUGUAGGAGUUACUGCUACAAUGUUAGGUACGCCUUUUGGUAAAAAUUUGAAAAGAUUAGAAAAACAGUUAGAGACCCAAGCUCUGGUGGUAAAGUGACAACGGCCCCGACUGGACGUUGGUGAAGGUAUAUGAGGUACCUCAAACUGUCAUUCCACAAGAUCCACCUGAAGCCGAGGAGUUGGUCAGGUUCUUCGAUUGUACUUAUGUUAGUGGCUCCUUUCGACUGAUGCAUGAGCCAGUUAACCAUAUCCAGUGAUGCCCUGAUGCCUCUGAUAAUGCGUCACAUUCCACCUGUUUGACCCUCACGUAUGGAAUGUGCAUGACGCCACCAUGAAGAACGAUGCCAGGAGGGUGUAAUAAUAAAUUCUUCAACCUCGUUGAUCACACUAUACCCAUCCACCAGUCUGGCCACAGGUGGGCACGAUAACAGAAAACCUUAUUCCCGAUAUCUGAUAACUUGGGAUAAAUUGGGAAACCUUAUCGAUGAUAACCGAUAUUCGUUAACUGGAGACACAAAUAUACGCGAUAACCGAUACCCGAUAUAAAUCCUAGUGUUUUAAUGUUGUGAUCUAACUAUGAAAUCUCUUCACCGAACAUAUUUCAUACCCCGAAGUUUUUUUCAUACAACACCGGGCGCCCGGGCCACGCAUGCGCAGUAGGGAGGAGACGUUUUUUUUUCUGAAAGGCGGAAAAAAGUAGCGAUUAUCAAUAGUUUGGUUACAAAAGUAACGAAGAUACCGAUAUUUAUAUAAAUAAGUAGCGGAUGGUCGAUAAGCCGAUUUUGUUAUCAGCGAUAAGUAUCGCGAUAACUUAUCGCGAUAACGCCCAGCUAUGAGUCUGGCGACUGACUAAAUUGUUUUUUGUUUGAUUAAAUUACUUUCUUUCCUAGCCAAAAUUGUGACUUAUCCUGUGAUAUUUUUCCUAGCCAAAAUUGUGACUUUUUCUGUGACUUUAUAACCGGCUACCGGGACAAAUAUGGCGUCCAAAUCUCGGGUUGUCGGUGCUCUACCAAGGGACUCGAUCAUAGCCAACUGACCUUCAGAUUCACUAACGCCUCGCAGAUACGACAAUCUUAAGUGGAUCCAAUAUGGCUGAAAUAAGAAUGUCGUAUCUUGCGAUUCACAAAAAAAUCUCAAGUCCGCCAUGUUUAGAUUUUCCUGCCUUAACGCUGUUUCACACUCCCGCCGACAGACGGCGUAGUGUGUUGUUGACAUAUUUCGUUCAACCAAUGGCAGCGCUCGAUACAUACGUACUCUAGAGACAGUAGCCAAUCACAGGAACCUCAACACCAGUGCAGCACGUGACCCGUGCCAGAGGCAGGCGAUGUUGCCUGCCCCACCGGGAGUACGGAGAUGAAGUGAGGAAGUUCAGGAGACUGAGUGUAACCUGUAAGUGUAGUGGGUGCUACAACACCUAGCAGCCCAUAUGUCCCAGCAGUGGUGCAGCGUCGGACCCUUAAACUUCCAGGCAGGAGACACAAGAUGGACACAAGAAAAAAGGUUCUGAAGGAGCAAGACCAAGCAUAUAUUACUGGAUAGUUUGCAGAAAUGUGUAGAUUUCCUUGAAUCGUCUCAACCAGAAUGACUGCAAUAGCUGGACCUUUACAGGACUUUGUUGAAUAUUGCAGGGCAUGAAAUUCUGUAUUUCUUAUGCAUCACUAAAGGUCUCUUUUGAUUUCUUCAAACAUGUUUUGUAUUUGCAAUUUAUUUAAUUGUUUUCUGUUGGAAAUAACAUAUAAAAAGAUGUUUAAUAGCAAGCUGUGAAGAAUUGCUCCAAAUAGUACACACCACGGUGCUAUAUGCUUUACAUUUUAUUAAGUGUAUAAUAAGCUCAGCCAUAUUGUCCUGCAGUUAAUUUUUAGUCAGAUAAUUUCUCCCCUUUUUUUACAAUUUAAGUUGUGAUUGUGUUCAUGUAUACCAGCAGUUCUUUCUUUAAUUAUAUUAGUAAAGAAGUUGUUAUUAUAUAUAUGAAGUCAGAUUAAGUGACUUUCAAAAGCAAUAUAAUUAAGUCCAUUUAGCCUGUGUCACUCUCAAAGUUAUACGCCUCCGUGGUCUACUGGUUAGCGUGCCUGGCUUCUACUCCGCAGGCCCGGGUUCGAAUCCCGGCCCAGGCAGUCUGCGUGCAGCUCACCCAGCUGUUCAUCCUCCCUCUUGGGCUGGUCGAUAAAUGGAUACCUGGGGAAAUCUGGGGAAGGUAAUCUGUGGUAACCCAGAUAUUACACUGGCCCUGUGUCCCAAGGUAAUGGGGGCUCCCUUCCACCACAGUCUCAAGGGUCAAUGUUACGGAGAUGAGCACCGAGGCCAUGCGCUGCUACUACGUAUCCCCCCAACUUUACUACUCUUACUCUCAAAGUAUAUAAUUGUGUGUUUGUGUGUAUGUGAGUGUGUGUGUGUGUCACAUCCUGGAAAGCCCAAGACUUCUUUCAAAACUCUGAUGACUCGAGAAAGAGUCUGGCUUCCAGCUAUAUCUUGAGAGCCAACAGUCAUCGUGGAAAUUUUCUAGGUAUAGUGGAAUGUGUUUUGACAGUGGGCAGUGCCAUUGUCUUUGAAGAACUCUACCGAGUUCUUAACGAAACACACCCAUACACCAAUUUGCUCGAUGAUUUCCUUUAUUUUAUUGCCAGUACACUAUUUAACACAUUUAAAUAUUUAAUAAUGUAUAUAUCAAUGCCCACUUUUUCAUUAUGUUCUCAACUUGUGAGUCAGUACUUUAGUAAGGUUAGGUUACAUAAAUGAAAAAAGUGCAUAUUUGAGUUAAAAACAGAAACAUUAUUUUCUUGUCAAUACCCAAAAAAUAACUUGAAUUUCAAGGAGAAAGAUUUUUUUUAUAGUCUAUGGACAAAGAACCUUUAUUUUCUGGUUUUAAUGUUGUGCUAUAAGUAGAAAAUGAAGUAAUUAUAUAUUUUUCACUUAACAUGAAAUAAAUAUCAAUAUAUAUAAAUAUUUUGCCUCAACCUAAAAUCAUAAAAUACUUUUUCAAUUAUAGUAGCUAUUAAACUAUGAGUGGGAAUAAAACUGGGUGAUGAAUCAAACCUUGACAGGUGUUGCUAGGUUGCUAAUUUACCAGCAAUAGGUUACCAUGUGAUGGAGAUGAGCACCGAGGCCACACACAGCUAUGCGUAUGCCCCCAACUUCACCCUACCCUUACUAGACACAUCAUCUAUAACACCCAGUAAAACUAGCAUACUAAAUAGUAAAUGUAAUACCUUAAUACAGUAAAUAUCAUUGAGACAAGAAUGAGCCAUGGGAUGACUUAAUUACCAAAAUAUCCAACAAACAUGAUGCAUGUUGCAAAGAAUGGGUAAUUGCUUAGCAGGAGCAGUCUAUUUGAGAUGCAUAUUACUUAUUUCCUGUGAUAUGUUAUGAUGCUUUUUAAUGGGGCUCUGUUUAUUACCACAAUAAUUCAGCUAUGAAAGUGCUACAGCAAAUUUACCCCAGAAUUCACUAUAACAAGCUCUGCGGCAUAUAUUGUCCAGCCGUCUUCACUCCCAAAUCUAUUUACAAACUAACAGACUCGUUUUAACCUAGUGGAUGGUAACCUAACUCUGCUAAAAUUGUAACCUAUAAUUGCCGCUGGGGAUAGUAGCCUAUCGUUAUAGAGGAGAGUAAACUGUCAACCCAAGUAUGAGACUCACCAAAUCAGCUCUAGUACUUUCAUAAUUGCUUCCUGGUGAUAACUAACUCCACAAAAAAAGACAUGAUAAUUUACCCAGUAAUGAAUAGUUUGUGUCUCUAAAAUAGGUCGCUAAAAUCUGCUAAACAAUGGCAAGGGGACACCCAGAAAUAUGUUCAGGGAGAUUGGAGGGCAGAGAAAAAGACAAGAUAAACUUUGGGGGUGCAGGGCCUGAAACCUCAUCAACGGUAAGCGGGUGGGGCCCGGCCCAUCCUUGGUUGUGCUAGUGGUCUAAGGUAUUACAAACUACAAAUUAAGACUAAAUUAUUCACCGAGCAUGUAUGAGUACCCACAUUACCCCCUGGUGGAUCUCCUGCGAAAAUUUCAAGCCCUCCAUAUAUAUUAUCACGAGUGUUUACGGCAGGAUAUUUGAUUCAGUAGUGUAGGAGUUCACAGUCACUACAUAUUCAGUGAAUGGUAUUAUAUACGGUUGACACGUCCUUAUAAAGCAAUGUUUUGAUAGCACUGUGACGUUUUGUUCAUUAUUUUGGCAGCGGGUCUUCCUCUUCUUCUUCAUUCCUCCUUGUGUUGUGGAGAAAAUCUGCCCUACGUACGGGUCACGAUAUCUUACGCCAUGUCUGGAGCUGCCGUAAAGUUACGGUGCCGGAAGAGUGUCGUAACUGUUUAGUGAAUAGCCCAAAGCAGCCGAAAGUUGCCUUAAGACAUUUUUUGUGACUUACGAACGUCGUAACUCGUUAGUGAAUCCUGGCCCUGGAGGUCCACGCCACACCACCCAGGAGGAAGACGAGCGCAUCAUCAGCCAAGCAAGAGACAAUCCCCUCACCACAGCUGUGAAGAUCAAGGUCACCACGGGCAUUAACGUAGGGAUCACCACGGUGAGGAAGAGACUCCAUGAAGCUGGCCUGCACCACCGGACGCCAGCCACCAAGCCCUUCCUCACCGACACCAACAGGGAGGAGCGCCUGGGCUUCGCUUUGGAAUAUCUCCCGGUCGAGGCAACGUUUUGGGAACAGGUCGUCUUCUGCGACGAGAAAACGUUUGCCUCUGACGACCACGGGAGACUACACUGCUGGCGUCUCGACAAAACAAGGUAUGAAACUCAAAACAUCAACUAUUCGAGAAGGAGUGGCAGGAUAACGGUCGGACUCUGGGGGUGGAUGUCAGCAAGCGGACCUGGGGAGCUAGCUGAAAUUGAGGAGCGCCUGACUUCACUUCAAUAUGUGGAGAUAUUGGACACAAUUAUGCUGCCAACUGUAAGAGCAAUGCUGAUACCACCACCACAACCAAUUUUCAUUGCGAUGGAUAAUGCUCCAACCCACAAUUCCCAGGCCGUAAAGGAAUGGUUCA